CCAGCAGACCCUCCCUCCCAGACCCUCCUACUUCCUGGACAGCAUCCAGGAAGUAGGAGGGUCUGGGAGGGAGGGUCUGCUGGAGAU
rnacentral:miRNA from 1 species